AAGUAAAUUUCAAAACUAUCCAAAAUGUUCAAAAUCUUCUUCUUGUUGUUCGCCGCCUUGGUUGCCUUGGCCACCGCUGUUCCAGCUCCUGCCCCAGAGGCUCGUCCUGAACCAGUCCCUGCACCACAAUUCUAUUAUGGUGGUUAUCCAGCUACCUAUAGCUAUGGUUAUCCCGCUGCUUACUAUGGUUAAGGAA